rnacentral:rRNA from 1 species
UGCAUGCAAGUUGAGCGAAGCUUUUUGGUAGUUUACUACUAGAAAUGACUGAGCGGCGAACGGGUGAGUAACGCGUGAGCAAUCUACCUUAGUUACUGGGAUAGCCCGAGGAAACUCGGAUUAAUACCGGAUAUUCUUAUUUUUUCACAUGAAGUUUUAAGGAAAGGUCAGCCGAACUAAGAUGAGCUCGCGUUCUAUCAGCUAGUUGGUGGGGUAAAAGCCUACCAAGGCUACGACGGAUAGCUGGUCUGAGAGGACGAUCAGCCACACUGGGACUGAGACACGGCCCAGACUCCUACGGGAGGCUGCAGCAGGGAAUAUUGUGCAAUGAGCGAAAGCUUGACACAGCGACACCGCGUGUGGGAUGACGGUUCUAGGAUUGUAAACCACUUUCAGGAGGGAAGAAAAUGACGGUACCUCCACAAGAAGACCCGGCCAACUAUGUGCCAGCAGCCGCGGUAAUACAUAGGGGUCAAGCGUUGUCCGGAUUUAUUGGGUGUAAAGAGCUCGUAGGCGGUUCAACAAGUCGGUCGUAAAAGUUUAGGGCUCAACCCUAAAAUGUCGAUCGAUACUGUUGUGACUAGGAUACGGUAGAGGUGAAUGGAAUUCCGAGUGUAGCGGUGAAAUGCGUAGAUAUUCGGAGGAACACCAAUUGCGAAGGCAGUUCACUGGACCGUGAUCGACGCUGAGGAGCGAAAGCUAGGGGAGCAAACAGGAUUAGAUACCCUGGUAGUCCUAGCUGUAAACGAUGGAUACUAGAUGUAGGAACUGGAUUGACGGUUUCUGUAUCGUAGCUAACGCGUUAAGUAUCCCGCCUGGGGAGUACGGUCGCAAGACUAAAACUCAAAGGAAUUGAC